GAUGAACGCUGGCGGCGUGCCUAAUACAUGCAAGUCGAGCGAACAGACGAGGAGCUUGCUCCUCUGACGUUAGCGGCGGACGGGUGAGUAACACGUGGAUAACCUACCUAUAAGACUGGGAUAACUUCGGGAAACCGGAGCUAAUACCGGAUAAUAUAUUGAACCGCAUGGUUCAAUAGUGAAAGACGGUUUUGCUGUCACUUAUAGAUGGAUCCGCGCCGCAUUAGCUAGUUGGUAAGGUAACGGCUUACCAAGGCAACGAUGCGUAGCCGACCUGAGAGGGUGAUCGGCCACACUAGAACUGAGACACGGUCCAGGCUCCUACGGGAGGCAGCAGUAGGGAAUCUUCCGCAAUGGGCGAAAGCCUGACGGAGCAACGCCGCGUGAGUGAUGAAGGUCUUCGGAUCGUAAAACUCUGUUAUUAGGGAAGAACAAAUGUGUAAGUAACUAUGCACGUCUUGACGGUACCUAAUCAGAAAGCCACGGCUAACUACGUG
rnacentral:rRNA from 1 species